CCUACGGGAGGCAGCAGUGGGGGAUAUUGCACAAUGGGGGGAACCCUGAUGCAGCGACGCCGCGUGGGUGAAGAAGCGCCUCGGCGCGUAAAGCCCUGUCAGCAGGGAAGAAAAUGACGGUACCUGCAGAAGAAGCCCCGGCUAACUACGUGCCAGCAGCCGCGGUAAUACGUAGGGGGCAAGCGUGAUCCGGAUUUACUGGGUGUAAAGGGGGCGCAGACGGCGAUGCAAGCCAGAAGUGAAAGCCCGGGGCGCAACCCCGGGACUGCUCUUGGAACUGCGUAGCUGGAGUGCAGGAGGGGCAGGCGGAAUUCCUGGUGUAGCGGUGAAAUGCGUAGAUAUCAGGAGGAACACCGGUGGCGAAGGCGGCCUGCUGGACUGCAACUGACGUUGAGGCCCGAAAGCGUGGGGAGCAAACAGGAUUAGAUACCCGAGUAGUC
rnacentral:rRNA from 1 species